GCGGCCUCCGCGCCAAGACCACCCCCCGACCCCCUCGGCUGGUCCCUCGGCCGGAGCCCGCCAGCAGAGCAUUUUGUUUCCAUGGCCUGUGCCGACAAGAGAGGAGGGGAGGAACAACAGCUGUAGGGACAGUGACAGGUGCCUAAACCAGCCUUACCUGUCCUGAGUGAGUCCUAAACUUUCAUCCUUCUUGGCAGAGGUUGUGCUGUUGUGUCUCUAACAUGACGUGAGACUCGGGGAUUGCGCAAAGGGGCGUCCUCCCUCGGGUGGCGGCAGCCGGCCAAGUGGAGCCCACAGUGUGCUCCAGCAGGCAGGGGCUCUGACAUCAGACCCCUGGAGCCGCCUGGGCUGCUUGCCGUGUGAUUUGGAGGAAGGAAAGGCACUGCUUCACACCUCGGUGCUUUUCUCAUCCGCAAAAUAGCCCCGUGAAACCACCUCUGCUUUUCAUUUUCUGAUGACACAUCCACAUUCCAUACAGGUGAAAACAAAGCAAACGACAGCCACACAGUCAGAAGUGCUGAAGAGGAACAUGCUGUUUUAGCAGUUUGGCAAAUGUAGGCCAGCCUCAUCCAACCGUGUGUCCUUCAACAGCUUCGCCCUUCGUGUUUUCCUUAUUUAAAAAACUAAAGUAAGAGAAUGACUGCCUGAUGGAGAAUAAAGACAUCACAAUGGCAGCACAAAAGAGUUGCUCCUGGAAUCAAGGCCCUGGGUUCACGUUACAGCAUCUGCUACUUUCUCGCCAUAUGACAGUGAUCGAAUUAUCGUAUCUGUCUGACUCUACAAAGUGGGCAUGCUUCCUGGGACUUGUAACGGUAGAAAUACAGACUCCAGGCUGUGAAGGGCUGGUGGUGCUCUGGUCUCGAAAGCCUUCUCUAAGUUCUUAUAACUUAGGAGGAGGUGAUAUUCAUGUAGUGCCAGCACUGGACCUGCUUGCUAGAACACAGUUACUUCCUGAGUGGAGUUAGUUCAACUCAUACCAUACCCUUGAAAUUUGGGGGCGGGGGGGAGCCUAUUUAUUUUACCGAAUACACAAUUUUUUAUUGUUAAAGGUAUUCAAAUUAAUUGCACCCUCGGUUCCAUGUUGAAAAACAGAACUAAGAUGUAAGUGGUGACCAAGUGAUUAUACUUCCAUCGUGCCAGUGUUGUAGGGAAGAAUGAACAGCAAAGGCAUACCUCAGAAUUAAGUUGUACGAUUAAAGGUUAAUAUUUUCUCAACACAAACAUAUGGGUCUCUGCUUCAUCCUGUAACUCUUACAGUUAAGUUUGGUAACUUGAGACACACACAAAGCGUUAAAGCCAACUAGGUCUUCAUUGAUUGCAUGUUCCUUAGAAAAGAUGGCAGUGUAGGGAAAGUUAUUCUUAGUACUAUUGGUACAAAUAAAACUAUUAGAUGCCUUUCAGCAUAGUGCAUAUGGUAUCUGAACCUUUGUCACCUAUGAAAUUUUCGUCCAAGUCCCUUCCCAGUUGCUGUCGUUUUAAAGGAACCCCUCAAAAUCCCCCACUGGUAAGUUCUCCGUUCCCUGUUUUACUGGUUUUGAACCUCAUACCGUUUUACUAAAUAAACAUUUUCUCCCAA